AGACCCCUGCGAGAGAGUCCAGAAGGUUGCAAUUAAGGAAGGGGACUGGCAGAUAGUUUCAAAGUUCACUGCUGCCCUGGAACACUGUCAGGAAUUGGAGGUGACAGCGACAGUCUCUGGAGUGCAGAACUGAUUAAAUUCGAGGGACCUGAAUGCUGUAGCUCCAGGACAAGACCUUUCAUGGGGCUACCACAGAAGGAAGUCACCAGACUGCUGUUCUUUUGCACUAGAUUUUAAUACAUAAUAUGCCA